rnacentral:rRNA from 1 species
ACGAACGCUGGCGGCGUGCUUAACACAUGCCGGUCGAACGGAAAGGCCCCUUUGGGGGUACUCGAGUGGCGAACGGGUGAGUAACACGUGAGUAACCUGCCCUUGACUUCGGGAUAACUUCAGGAAACUGGGGCUAAUACCGGAUAGGAAUCCUUGCUGCAUGGUGGGGGUUGGAAAGCUUCGGCGGUUUUGGAUGGACUCGCGGCUUAUCAGCUUGUUGGUGGGGUAGUGGCUUACCAAGGCUUUGACGGGUAGCCGGCCUGAGAGGGCGACCGGCCACAUUGGGACUGAGAUACGGCCCAGACUCCUACGGGAGGCAGCAGUGGGGAAUAUUGCACAAUGGGCGGAAGCCUGAUGCAGCAACGCCGCGUGCGGGAUGACGGCCUUCGGGUUGUAAACCGCUUUCAGCAGGGGCGAAGCUUGUGGUGACGGUACCUGCAGAAGAAGCACCGGCUAACUACGUG